rnacentral:rRNA from 1 species
UACGUAGGCAGCAAGCGUUGUUCGGAGUUACUGGGCGUAAAGGGUUCGUAGGUGGUGCGGCAAGUUGGGAGUGAAAUCUCUGGGCUUAACUCAGAGGCUGCUUUCAAAACUGCCGCGCUCGAGUGCGAGAGAGGUCAGUGGAAUUGCAGGUGUAGCGGUGAAAUGCGUAGAUAUCUGCAGGAACACCCGUGGCGAAGGCGGCUGACUGGAUCGCAACUGACACUGAGGAACGAAAGC